rnacentral:rRNA from 1 species
GACGAACGCUGGCGGCGUGCUUAACACAUGCAAGUCGAACGGAAAGGGCGUGAGCUUGUGGGGUGCUCGAGUGUCGCACGGGUGUGUAACACGUGAGUACACUGCGCUUGACUUUCGGGUAUCUUCGGUGAACUCGGGCUAAUACCGCGUAUGCGCUCCGGCUGGGCGUCGGCUGUGGGUGGAAUUCGGCGGUUGGGGAUGGGCUCGCGGCUUAUCAGCUUGUUGGUGGGGGAGCGGCUUACCAAGGCUUGGACGGGUAGCCGGCCUGAGAGGGUGACCGGCCACAUUGGGACUGAGACACGGCCCAGACUCCUACGGGAGGCAGCAGUGGGGAAUAUUGCACAAUGGGCGGAAGCCUGAUGCAGCAACGCCGCGUGCGGGAUGACGGCCUUCGGGUUGUAAACCGCUUUCGGCAGUGAAGAAGCGAGAGUGACGGUAAUUGGAAAAGAAGCACCGGCUAACUACGUG